UUAAUAUGAAUAUAUUGUGAUGACUACUGAGAUGAUUAUUUCUUCAUGUUCCCAGUUUACCUCACAUUGCUGAGAAGCUGACAAUAGUUCAAAUCCUAUAAUAAGAAUAUAAACACUUCUAUGGAGGACAAGUUCUUUUAAAAACCAAAUGAGUACAUUUUUUAAAAAAAUCCUUUAGUCCUCGCAGACUGACAUAAUUUGUUGAUUGAACAAUAAGUAAGUAAUUCAUGUAGCACCACGUAUACUAGAGCAGCAAGCCUGAAGAGCUUAUUAAACUCUCGCUGAAGCCCACUGAUGAUACAAUUUACAUGACAUGGUGAUGGCAUGUUGUGGGUACAGCCAUGGCAAGGUUCCAGUACAGCUAUGGGUUUCAUCUCGGGGUGAUGUGACAUGAAUGUUCAUCCAGGUUCGCUCUUUUUUGCAGGUUUUGUUGAUUGCCAUUAGAAGAGGGAGUUUAACUUAGUCUCAUUUCAUGGAGGGCUUGCAGAGACACCUCCCCUUGAGGUGAAUGGAAGUUUUCUGAACAUCUAAUCAAUGCAAGAUGUUGCCCUCAUCGUUACUCAUGUUUGAAGAAACAUUUCAGGGAUCUGUCGUGCAUGCUACUAGGAAUUGCUCAUGCAUUAUUGGAACUGGCUUCAUCCAUUACUUUGGACAUUCAGAACAAGAGCAUGAACUUGAGAUACAUGAUGAAGAGCUGGUCAUGCAACAUGGUUUGGUAGGAUAUGGUGAUUAAAUAGAGGAUUGAAAUAGAAGUGAUGGCGAUGGUGAUUACGAAAAUGAGGCCAUUGUCGGCGGUGGUUGACAAGGACUCAUGCAACUUCGAGAAGCCUUGCGCUUUUGUCAACGCUCGCUCUGACUGCUCCAUCUGCUCCCUCUCUCCCUAGGUCACCCAUGUCAGGCCCCUCCAGUGCGCAUGCAAUAGUGUGGAAUUUCUAGCCCCUUGCUUCGAGAUUCUGUCCUUUCAGUUCUACAUUCUAUAUUCUAAAAUCCACUUUAAAUUGGAGUUGUUGAUUUCUUAGAUCAUCUGGACUACAUGGAUUUAUGUUAGACGAUUACCAGGCUAGAGAUCCUUGUGCAGAUGUUGAUGCAGACAGUGGCUUGCUGUAUCUGAAUCAAUAUAUCAUUUAUGUUACCCCAAGUUUCUCAA